rnacentral:rRNA from 1 species
UACGUAGGUGGCAAGCGUUGUCCGGAAUUACUGGGUGUAAAGCGCGUGUAGGCGGCAGACCAAGUCGGCGGUGAAAGCGCCCGGCUCAACUGGGCGAGGUCCGUGGAAACUGGUCAGCUGGAGGACGGUAGAGGCGAGUGGAAUUCCCGGUGUAGUGGUGAAAUGCGUAGAGAUCGGGAGGAACACCUGUGGCGAAGGCGGCUCGCUGGGCCGAUACUGACGCUGAGGAGCGAAAGCGUGGGGAGCGAACAGG